GAUGAAGAACGCAGCGAAAUGCGAUAAGUAAUGUGAAUUGCAGAAUUCAGUGAAUCAUCGAAUCUUUGAACGCAUAUUGCGCCCGCCAGUAUUCUGGCGGGCAUGCCUGUCUGAGCGUCAUUUCAACCCUCAUGCCCCUAGGGCGUGGUGUUGGGGAUCGGCCAAAGCCCGCGAGGGACGGCCGGCCCCUAAAUCUAGUGGCGGACCCGUCGUGGCCUCCUCUGCGAAGUAGUGAUAUUCCGCAUCGGAGAGCGACGAGCCCCUGCCGUUAAACCCCCAACUUUCCAAGGUUGACCUCAGAUCAGGUAGGAAUACCCGCUGAACUUAAGCAUAUCAAUAAGCGGAGGA
rnacentral:misc_RNA from 1 species